GAGUUCUUAACAAUAUUUAUGUUAUGAAAAAGUACGAAAAAAAUAUUUUUUUCUUAUUUGAUCGGAUUAAAAAGAAACUUUGGGAUUGCUGAAUCAUAGAUAAAAAAAAGAAAAAAUAAACAUAUAAAGCAACAGAGCCAUCAUAGUAUUUUUGAACUACUCUGAAAGGAAGCAUGUCAAUUUGAUUAUUUACCCAUCUGAGUCUGAUAGAUUCUAUUUUUCUCUUUCUUCAAUAGAAAGGAGAGGGGUCAAUUUUCUUGUAGAGCCGUAUGCACAAAAGAUGCCUGUACGGUUGUUCAAUUCUAUCUUUUUUCUAGUCUUUAUCUUUCUUUUCUCUUUGCUUUAUCAUACGAGAUAACAGAAGCUUUUAUUUUGUUAUAUCAUCAGGGUAAUGAUGCAUGAACCUUUUAGUGGUUUUUAUAUGGCACAAGUAGGC
rnacentral:lncRNA from 1 species